UACGGAGGGAGCUAGCGUUGCUCGGAUUGACUGGGCGUAAAGGGCGCGUAGGCGGCUUACACAGUCAGACGUGAAAUUCCUGGGCUCAACCUGGGGGCUGCGUUUGAUACAUGUAGGCUUGAGUUCGGAAGAGGGUCGUGGAAUUCCCAGUGUAGAGGUGAAAUUCGUAGAUAUUGGGAAGAACACCGGUGGCGAAGGCGGCGACCUGGUCCGAUACUGACGCUGAGGCGCGAAAGCGUGGGGAUCAAACAGG
rnacentral:rRNA from 1 species